GUUUUCAAGCUAGAUUUCCGGAAAGCCUUUGACUCUGUUGCCUGGCCUGUACUUGACAAGAUCCUCCUCGCCCGGGGCUUCUCCCACAUCUUCCGCAGCUGGAUCCAGAACAUCCUCGUUACAGGCAAAACUGCCAUUCUUCUCAAUGGUGUCCCAGGCAACUGGAUCGACUGCAAAAAUGGCCUACGACAGGGCGACCCCAUCUCCCCCUACCUCUUUCUCAUCGUAGCAGACCUGCUCCAGCAGCUUAUCUUCAAAAACACACAUGCCUCGCACCACCCCAUCUUCUCUCAUCUACCCCCCACUGUUCUCCAGUACGCAGACGACACGUUGAUUGUUGACGCCGCCUCGCCUGAUGCCGCUGCUGCACUCAAAGUAAUUCUAACCAACUUCGUCAACACUACUGGGUUAACCAUCAACUUCUCCAAAACCACGCUUGCAACCCUACACACAGAUGACACCGUUGCUAACGACACCGCCCUUGCCAUGGGCUGCUCACGCGCCCCCUUCCCCCAAACCUACCUUGGCCUCCCUCUCUCCCCUACUAAGCCUCCAUCCAAUGCCUUCGAUCCCCUCCUAGAAUGCUCCCGCAAGCUGCUGGCUAGCUGGCGUGCUAAGCUGCUUGACAAAGGCGACCGCCUCAUUCUUAUCUCCGCAGUCCUAGACUCCCUCCUCACCUACUUCAUGCCAGUCUUUCGUAUCCCCAAAAAGGUUUUAAAAACCCUAGACUCCAUUCGUAAAGCUUUCUUCUGGGCGGGUGAGGAUUCAGUUUCAGGAGCCCAAUGCCUUAUUGCAUGA
rnacentral:rRNA from 1 species